CUCCUAGUCUUCUGCAGUCCUCCACCUCUUCAACCUCUAAAACCCUGGUCGUCAAAGCUUCCUUGCAGCGGGGUGGGUCCACGGUAAAUUUCAUUGGCUAAUGAUGCUUCACAGCGUAAGAGCAUCUGCCACGUGUAGAAUCCAACAUUUUUCUUACAAAUAGGUUUAUAAAGGAUCCGCCACUCGACAGGCCGACCACGGGUCUCUGAUUUCAUCCGACGGUCC
rnacentral:lncRNA from 1 species